UACGAAGGGGGCUAGCGUUGCUCGGAAUCACUGGGCGUAAAGGGCGCGUAGGCGGCCAUUCAAGUCGGAGGUGAAAGCCCAGGGCUCAACCCUGGAAUUGCCUUCGAUACUGUUUGGCUAGAGACCGGAAGAGGUAAGUGGAACUGCGAGUGUAGAGGUGAAAUUCGUAGAUAUUGGGAGGAACACCUGCGGCGAAGGCGGGUUGCUGGGCUGACACUGACGCUGAAGCGCGAAAGCUAGGGGAGCGAACGGG
rnacentral:rRNA from 1 species